UGUGCCUAUUUAUCAAUUUGCCUCAUUCUCAUUUUUGUAAAAGAAAGCCCAAUGGUGUGGGUGGUGCUUAAACAGAUAGAAGGAACCCAGCGAAGGUUAAGUGUUACAAACUGACUGCUAUUCAGACAGCAAGCAGUACAGUGAAGAUUGAAGCUGCAUGACUUGAGGAUAUAAGAAUUGCUCUGUUAUUUCAAUUGUUUAGGACCUCACAUGGGAGAAGAGGUGCAGCUUGCGACUGCGGGGUCAUAUCAGCAAGCUGGUACUCAAACUUAUCAACUUAUGAAGCAUCUACCUUGUUUUAAUGUAAGAGUUCUAGAGCUUGUCUGCUUAGAGAGUCCGUAAACUGGCUGAUUGGUGUCUUUAUGGUAGUGUUUGAUGGCCUCAGCUGAAUUCCAUAUAGGCUGGGAUUGGGUUGUCUCUGCUUAUAAAUUGUAAUCUUUGAUUCCUUGCUAUUUUGGGGUUUUGUGUGUGUGUUCAGUUGUGCUGUAGCUGCUGUAAUGCAUAUAGUGGCUGCAGUUGUCUUGGAGCUUCUACAUAGUCAUUGCAAUUGAUUAACUGUUGCUUGUUGAA